rnacentral:rRNA from 1 species
GAUGAACGCUGGCGGCGUGCCUAAUACAUGCAAGUCGAGCGAACGGACGAGAAGCUUGCUUUUCUGAUGUUAGCGGCGGACGGGUGAGUAACACGUGGAUAACCUACCUAUAAGACUGGGAUAACUUCGGGAAACCGGAGCUAAUACCGGAUAAUAUUUUGAACCGCAUGGUUCAAAAGUGAAAGACGGUCUUGCUGUCACUUAUAGAUGGAUCCGCGCUGCAUUAGCUAGUUGGUAAGGUAACGGCUUACCAAGGCAACGAUGCAUAGCCGACCUGAGAGGGUGAUCGGCCACACUGGAACUGAGACACGGUCCAGACUCCUACGGGAGGCAGCAGAAGGGAAUCUUCCGCAAUGGGCGGAAGCCUGACGGAGCAACGCCGCGUGAGUGAUGAAGGUCUUCGGAUCGUAAAACUCUGUUAUUAGGGAAGAACAUAUGUGUAAGUAACUGGGCACAUCUUGACGGUACCUAAUCAGAAAGCCCCGGCUAACUACGUG